AUGGAGCCGACCUUGAAAUACCACCCUUUAAUGUUUGAUGUUCUAACGUUGACCCGUAAUCCGGGUUGCGGACAGUGUCUGGUGGGUAGUUUGACUGGGGCGGUCUCCUCCUAAAGAGUAACGGAGGAGCACGAAGGUUGGCUAAUCCUGGUCGGACAUCAGGAGGUUAGUGCAAUGGCAUAAGCCAGCUUGACUGCGAGCGUGACGGCGCGAGCAGGUGCGAAAGCAGGUCAUAGUGAUCCGGUGGUUCUGAAUGGAAGGGCCAUCGCUCAACGGAUAAAAGGUACUCCGGGGAUAACAGGCUGAUACCGCCCAAGAGUUCAUAUCGACGGCGGUGUUUGGCACCUCGAUGUCGGCUCAUCACAUCCUGGGGCUGAAGUAGGUCCCAAGGGUAUGGCUGUUCGCCAUUUAAAGUGGUACGCGAGCUGGGUUUAGAACGUCGUGAGACAGUUCGGUCCCUAUCUGCCGUGGGCGCUGGAGAACUGAGGGGGGCUGCUCCUA
rnacentral:rRNA from 1 species